AGUAUUUAUAUAUCCGGAGAAAGUUCUAUAGUAAAUUCUGGAGAUCUUCGUUAUUUAAAUAUCAACAUCGAUUUGUUUAUUUAUUGCUCAGCUUAUCGUAACCGACUCGAUAACAAAUCUAAUAAUGUUGCGCACAGGAAAAAAUAUUCUCAUUAUGUAUUUUCCCUACGUUAUAAUUAACUGUUACAUUUGAAUUCGAGCUGUAAAUUCAAUAUUAUCAAGUAAUUACU
rfam:Colinus virginianus strain Texas jcf7180006226336, whole genome shotgun sequence.